rnacentral:rRNA from 1 species
GGACUACACGGGUAUCUAAUCCUGUUUGCUCCCCACGCUUUCGCACCUCAGCGUCAGUACCGGACCAGUGAGCCGCCUUCGCCACUGGUGUUCUUCCUAAUAUCUACGAAUUUCACCUCUACACUAGGAAUUCCACUCACCUCUUCCGGACUCGAGAUUGCCAGUAUCAAAGGCAGUUCCGAGGUUGAGCCUCGGGAUUUCACCCCUGACUUAACAAUCCGCCUACGUGCGCUUUACGCCCAGUAAUUCCGAACAACGCUAGUCCCCUCCGUAUUACCGCGGCUGCUGGCAC